rnacentral:tRNA from 1 species
GUGCUCGGCAGGACCCAGGACUCUUGUAUGCUAGACGAGCGCUUUACCUAUUAAGCUACCGAGCC